CCCCCCCAGGAGGCCCUGGAGAGGUUCUGUGACUCCCUGGAGCAGAUGAUGGACAGCCACGAGGAGCUGCGGAGCUGCACCCAGAGCGCCCUGAGGAGGCACCUCCAGCCCCUGCUCCGGGAGGGUCUCCGAGGUCUCCGUUCCCUGGGCCGGGAGCGGGCGCGGGCGCAGGACGCCCUGCAGGGGG